GAUGAACGCUGGCGGCGUGCUUAACACAUGCAAGUCGAACGAUGAAGCCCAGCUUGCUGGGUGGAUUAGUGGCGAACGGGUGAGUAACACGUGAGUAACCUGCCCUUGACUCUGGGAUAAGCCUGGGAAACUGGGUCUAAUACUGGAUAUGACUUCUCAUCGCAUGGUGGGGGGUGGAAAGAUUUAUUGGUUUUGGAUGGACUCGCGGCCUAUCAGCUUGUUGGUGAGGUAAUGGCUCACCAAGGCGACGACGGGUAGCCGGCCUGAGAGGGUGACCGGCCACACUGGGACUGAGACACGGCCCAGACUCCUACGGGAGGCAGCAGUGGGGAAUAUUGCACAAUGGGCGCAAGCCUGAUGCAGCGACGCCGCGUGAGGGAUGACGGCCUUCGGGUUGUAAACCUCUUUCAGUAGGGAAGAAGCGAGAGUGACGGUACCUGCAGAAGAAGCGCCGGCUAACUACGUG
rnacentral:rRNA from 1 species